rnacentral:rRNA from 1 species
AGAGUUUGAUCAUGGCUCAGAUUGAACGCUGGCGGCAUGCGUAACACAUGCAAGUCGAACGGUGUUUGGUGCUUGCACCAGACAUAGUGGCGGACGGGUGAGUAAUGCGUAGGAAUCUGUCUUAGAGAGGGGGACAACCCGAGGAAACUUGGGCUAAAACCGCAUAUUCUCGAGAGAGGAAAGCAGGGGACCGGAAACGGCCUUUGUGCUCUAAGGUGAGCCUACGUCGGAUUAGCUAGUUGGUAGGGUAAAAGCCUACCAAGGCGAUGAUCUGUAGCUGGUCUGAGAGGACGGACAGCCACACUGGGACUGAGACACGGCCCAGACUCCUACGGGAGGCAGCAGUGGGGAAUAUUGGACAAUGGGGGGAACCCUGAUCCAGCGAUGCCGCGUGUGUGAAGAAGGCCUGCGGGUUGUAAAGCACUUUCAGUGGGAAAGAGAAGCGUCUUGUGAAUAAUGGGACGUGGAGACGUUACUCACAGAAGAAGCACCGGCUAACUCUGUG